UUUUAUGGAGAGUUUGAUCCUGGCUCAGGAUGAACGCUGGCGGCGUGCCUAAUACAUGCAAGUCGAGCGAACAGACGAGGAGCUUGCUCCUCUGACGUUAGCGGCGGACGGGUGAGUAACACGUGGAUAACCUACCUAUAAGACUGGGAUAACUUCGGGAAACCGGAGCUAAUACCGGAUAACAUGUUGA
rnacentral:rRNA from 1 species